GAAGGGUUUACGGCUCGUAAAGCUCUGUUGUUAAAGAAGAACACGUAUGAGAGUAACUGUUCAUACGUUGACGGUAUUUAACCAGAAAGUCACGGCUAACUACGUGCCAGCAGCCGCGGUAAUACGUAGGUGGCAAGCGUUAUCCGGAUUUAUUGGGCGUAAAGAGAGUGCAGGCGGGUUUUCUAAGUCUGAUGUGAAAGCCUUCGGCUUAACCGGAGAAGUGCAUCGGAAACUGGAUAACUUGAGUGCAGAAGAGGGUAGUGGAACUCCAUGUGUAGCGGUGGAAUGCGUAGAUAUAUGGAAGAACACCAGUGGCGAAGGCGGCUACCUGGUCUGCAACUGACGCUGAGACUCGAAAGCAUGGGUAGCGAACAGGAUUAGAUACCCUGGUAG
rnacentral:rRNA from 1 species